rnacentral:miRNA from 1 species
CUCAGGAAAGAUGACACCGAC